rnacentral:pre_miRNA from 1 species
CUAAUUAUGAGCAGAUCAGGCAGGACGUGGUUUUGUGCGAAACCGGCGAAAUCUGAGUUUGAUGGUAUUGCACAUACCCGGCCUUGCUGAUCUUGCUUUCA